rnacentral:rRNA from 1 species
UGGGGAAUUUUGGACAAUGGGCGCAAGCCUGAUCCAGCCAUGCCGCGUGAGUGAAGAAGGCCUUCGGGUUGUAAAGCUCUUUCGGUCGGGAAGAAAAGGUCCGCGCUAACACCGCGGACUCAUGACGGUACCGGCAUAAGAAGCACCGGCUAACUACGUGCCAGCAGCCGCGGUAAUACGUAGGGUGCAGGCGUUAAUCGGAAUUACUGGGCGUAAAGGGUGCGCAGGCGGCGUCGCAAGUCAGGCGUGAAAUCCCCGGGCUUAACCUGGGAAUGGCGCUUGAAACUACGAUGCUGGAGUAUGGCAGAGGGAGGUGGAAUUCCACGUGUAGCGGUGAAAUGCGUAGAGAUGUGGAGGAACACCGAUGGCGAAGGCAGCCUCCUGGGCCAAUACUGACGCUCAUGCACGAAAGCGUGGGGAGCAAA